rnacentral:lncRNA from 1 species
CCCAGUGCGUUAAAAAUGGUACAACUGAACAGAAAGUUUACCAAUGCACAGCUCAGUAUUUUUAAAACAAACAAAAAAGAUUCUUUAGUUAUUUGAAGUGUAAUAUGUACUUGAAAGCAAUUUUCGGAAAUUCAGGUAUUUUUUAAUGCAAAUAUUUUAAUAACUUUUUGUUCUGAAAACAACUGCAUAUUGUUGAUGUUAAAAAAAGGCUAACAGAGAACAUAUGUUCAUUUCAUGCCCUGCGCCAUCUUGCCUACUAUUUGUCUUUGGCCUAACAAGUUUCUCUAACGUGGAAUAGGAAUUACUGAAACAGUACAGGAAAUAUGACUUCAGACUUAUGCAGUUUAGGGUACCCCAUUCACCAGCGGCUGUUGACCAUCUGCGUUGUCCGCUUUCUCUUUCUUCUGAUUACGUUCUUUACCUGUGCGCAGCCGGCUGCCUUCGCUGGAGGUAUUCAGUAGAGAUCCAUCUGCUGUUCUCCCUUUUGCAUCUCUUGAAUUACGCUGACGGUUAUCUGUUCGUGACUGCUCAUCAUUUCCUUUGAAUCCUCCACGACCCCUCCCUCCUUGCCCUCUUGCACCACCUCCACGUCUUCGCCCAUCUCCCCUGCGAAGGUAGUUGUCUCGUUCCUCUUCUGCUUGGGCUAAUGACCAAUCGCUAAGUUCAUCUCUGUGAUCAGAUUCCGUUUCAGAAGCAUUUGAUGCUUCAGAAUUAGUUCCCGAAGCGUAGCCUGGACCACGUCUGCUAUGCCCUCUGUUUCUGUAAGGUCGACUACCCCUUCCGAGUCCCGGACCAUCAUCAGUCAUAUAUCCUUUUUCUUUAUCUGUACGAUUUGGUGGUGGUCUAGAAGUAGCUCCAAUCUGUCGAAGCUGCUCAUCAAUUUGCAAUCUUUCCAAACGUAGUUGGUCCACCUCCUUUAAAUAAUUAAGAUGAUAAUCCAGAAGAACAGUUGCAUUAGUGAUGCUAUCCUUGGUUCCCACAAAUACAAAUGGUACCAUUCCCUCUUCUUGUGGAAUAUUUUUAUCAUUUUCAGCCUCAAUUCUCACUCUUACAACACCAGAUUUGUCCACUAUCUCCUGAAUCAGUUUUCCAUUUUUUCCAAUUACCUUCCCUACUAAAUUUCUUGGGACUUGUAUGACAUCUUCAGCAAACUCAAGGUAACUUCUUGCCUUUUUCACUGCAUCUUGAUCCUCUCCAUAAAUAUGGAAUGUGCAGGUAUCUUCAUCAAGAUCAAUGGCAGUCACUCCAGGGACUUU